rnacentral:lncRNA from 1 species
CAUCAGCCAUGUCAUAACCAGACGUAGUGUAAAUUUACCAUCUAACUACCCACCUACCAUAUCCAUUUCCAUCAUCAGCUCUAUAUUCAAUUAUUUCAUCCAGUUGAUAUAUCAAAGAUCUGUUAGUCACAAUCCCUCUCUCGCACACCAUUUCCAUGAUGACUAUCAUCAUUGAUGGUGUCUUUAUGGCAUGUCAUUCUUUCCAAGUCUAUAGCCUCUAAAGUAGUGAGGCCCCUGGGUCCAUUCAGAGGUCUUAUUACGGUCGCCUGUCCCCAGUCAAUUACGAGAUCCUGUUCAUAUGUUCUAUGUACCAGGGCUGUGGUCAGUCUACCGGCCUUUAUAUCUGCCCUGUGUUCUCUCAGUCGUUUUUCCAGGCUGCUAGUAGUGCUUCCUAUAUAACAUUGAACAAUCUUUUCAUCAUUAUUAUACAGGGGGAUUGAGUAUACCCUGAUCUAUCUCUCUGGAUAGGAUCUUUUUCAUUGCGUAAUAUAUUGAAUAUGGUAGGACCCCUCUUGUUGGCCAUUCUGUAUCUUCCUUCAUGUUUUUAGCCAGGACUUUAUCCGUGAUAUUAUAGUAUGUAAUCUUCGCGUACGGGCAUGUAUUGGUACUACGUCGAAGGUGUGGAUAUUCAUCUUUAUAUGACUUAGGGCUGGUUGCAUUACUUUCAGUUUAAUCUGAAGAAUAGUUAUCAGUAAAAUACUUUAAUCUGUUUGAAAAUCUAAAGAUUAAGUUACAGUGUGUUGCAUGAGGUGUUUAGCUAUUAGUUAGCUAUCAGCCAGAUAGUGUGAAGAUAAUUACUAUGCAUGUGCUUUAUCAUAACAACUCAUUUGAACAUGAAGGUGCAUAUUAAAUUAUUUACUGCUUUAAAUAUUUGCAGUUCAGCUUUUAGUUCAUUAUUUUUAAAAAUAUUCACC